rnacentral:rRNA from 1 species
GACGAACGCUGGCGGCGUGCUUAACACAUGCAAGUCGAACGGGGAACCUCUUCGGAGGGGAUCAGUGGCGAACGGGUGAGUAACACGUGGGCAACCUGCCCCCGGCUCUGGGAUAACUCCAAGAAAUUGGGGCUAAUACCGGAUGUUCACCGCUUCCCGCCUGGGUGGUGGUGGAAAGGGUUUCCGGUUGGGGAUGGGCCCGCGGCCUAUCAGCUUGUUGGUGGGGUAGUGGCCUACCAAGGCGACGACGGGUAGCCGGCCUGAGAGGGUGACCGGCCACAAUGGGGCUGAGACACGGCCCAGACUCCUACGGGAGGCAGCAGUGGGGAAUAUUGCGCAAUGGGCGGAAGCCGGCCGAAGCGACGCCGCGUGGGGGAGGACGGCCUUCGGGUUGUAAACCUCUUUCAGCAGGGACGAAGCGCAAGUGAAGGUACCUGCAGAAGAAGAACAGGCCAACUACGU